rnacentral:rRNA from 1 species
CCUGGUUGAUCCUGCCAGUAGUCAUAUGCUUGUCUCAAAGAUUAAGCCAUGCAUGUCUCGGCAUAAACCUACGUAUGGUGAAGCUGCGAAUGGCUCAUUAGAACAGUUGUGGUUUAUCUGGUACUUGAAAGAUAGAUGGAUAACUGUGGUAAUUCUAGGGCUAAUACAUGCGUAAAAACCGGACUUCGAGGAACGGUUGUACUUAUUAGACAAAGAACUAAUCCGUUUCGGCGGCAUUUAGAUGAAUCAUAAUAAAAGCAUGGAGCGUAUGACUUGUGUCGGCGCUACACCAUUCAAGUUUCUGACCUAUCAGCUUUCGACGGCAGGGUAUUGGCUUACCGUGGCAUUGACGGGUAACGGGGAAUUAGGGUUCGAUUCCGGAGAGGAAGCCUGAGAAACGGCUACCACAUCUAAGGAAGGCAGCAGGCGCGCAAAUUACCCACUCCUGACACAGGGAGGUAGUGACAAGGAAUAGCAAUGCAGGUGGCAAUUGCCAUUGUGCUAUUGGAAUGAGUGGACUUUAAAUCCCUUUUCGACUAUCGAUUGGAGGGCAAGUCUGGUGCCAGCAGCCGCGGUAAUUCCAGCUCCAGUAGCGUAUAUUAAAGUUGUUGCGGUUGAAAAGCUCGUAGUUGGGUUUCUGCGGAGGAAGCGCGGUCCGCACUUGGUGCGUGUAUCUGGUCUACCUACGCAUCUUCCAGUGAAACGCUACUGCGCUUUAUUGCGUGGCGCGGCAAUCUGGACUUUUACUUUGAGGAAAUUGGAGUGUUUACAGCGAGCGAUUGGUUUGAACAUAUUAGCAUGGAAUAAUAACCUAGAACCUUGGUUCUAUUUUGUUGGUUUCUAGACUAGGGUAAUGAUCAAUAGGGAUAAUUGGGGGCAUUUGUAUCAACACGUCAGAGGUGAAAUUCUUGGAUUGUGUUACGACGAACCACUGCGAAAGCAUUUGCCAAGGAUGUUUUCAUUGAUCAAGAACGAAAGUGCAGGGAUCGAAGACGAUUAGAUACCGUCGUAGUCUGCACCGUAAACUAUGCCGAUUAAAGAUUGGAGGUCGUUCUUAUUGUGGCUCCUUCAGUAAUUUAUGAGAAAUCAAAAUUCUUGGGUUCCGGGGGGAGUAUGGUCGCAAGGCUGAAACUUAAAGGAAU